rnacentral:ncRNA from 1 species
UUAACAGGCAAACCUGACGAAAGUCAGGGACGCAAAGCCAUAGGGUCUAAGGUUUCCAAGGAAGACUAUGACAGCCGGUUG